AAUUCCACUUGAUUCUAGGGAAAUUAAACCCUCAUUGAGCGUAUUAUAAAGUGUUACCUUACCCACCACCUGUCAGAGGUGGAGCAACACCUGAAAGACGAGGGCUUCAGUGCCAGAGGCGAGACCUGAAACUUAAAGCGAGAGCUGCUGCCCAGCAAAUCUGUUUCUCCUCAAAGGAACCUUAAACUGAGCUCAUCCAGCCUUUCUGAGCAGCACAGCAGAGCUUCUGUCCAGCACUGAGAAAAGACUAAUUUCAGGGUCUGAUAAGCUCCCCACUUUGUGCCUGACACACCUGCAGGGAGAGGCAGAGAUUCAACUGAGUCUAUCAGAUUUUCCUCAACAACACAGCAGAGUCUCUACAAACAGCAGGUGCAGACAUGUCUGCUGCCAGCUGUCUUCUAUCUGAAGAUCAGUCUCUGUGCUUCAUCUGUCUGAAUGUCUUCACUGAUCCAGUCUCCACACCAUGUGGACACAACUUCUGCAAAAACUGCAUCAGUCAACACUGGGAUAUCAGUGAGAGGUGUCAGUGUCCUUUGUGUAAAAAGGUCUUUCAGACCAGACCUGAGCUGCACAUCAACACUUUCAUCUCUGAGAUGGUUUCUCAGUUCAGACAUGAAGCUCAGCAGAAAGUCAGCAGCAGCAGCUCAGAGCAACAAGCUGCCAAACCAGGAGAAGUUCCCUGUGACAUCUGCACUGGAACCAAACUGAAGGCUCUGAAGUCCUGCCUGGUG